AGCGGGNGGNUUAUACAUGCAAGUCGAGGGGCAUCAGGUCUAAACCUAGUUUAGAUGCUGGCGACCGGCGCACGGGUGAGUAACGCGUACACUACCUACCUUGUACUGGGGAAUAGCCCUGGGAAACUGGGAUUAAUACUCCAUAGUAUCGAAAGAUUAAAGCUUUGGCGGUACGAGAUGGGUGUGCGUCUGAUUAGCUAGUUGGUGAGGUAACGGCAACACCAAGGCGACGAUCAGUAGGGGGCGUGAGAGCGUGACCCCCCACACGGGUACUGAGACACGGACCCGACUCCUACGGGAGGCAGCAGUAAGGAAUAUUGGACAAUGGGCGAAAGCCUGAUCCAGCCAUCCCGCGUGCAGGAUGAAGGCCCUAUGGGUUGUAAACUGCUUUUAUCUGGGAAGAAACCUGUUUAUUUAUAAGCAGCUGACGGUACCAGAGGAAUAAGCACCGGCUAACUCCGUGCCAGCAGCCGCGGUAAUACGUAGGGCGCAAGCGUUGUCCGGAAUUAUUGGGCGUAAAGAGCUCGUAGGCGGUUGGUCGCGUCUGCUGUGAAAUCCCGAGGCUCAACCUCGGGCCUGCAGUGGGUACGGGCCAACUAGAGUGCGGUAGGGGAGAUCGGAAUUCCUGGUGUAGCGGUGGAAUGCGCAGAUAUCAGGAGGAACACCAAUGGCGAAGGCAGAUCUCUGGGCCGUAACUGACGCUGAGGAGCGAAAGCGUGGGGAGCGAACAGGAUUAGAUACCCCUGGUAGUCCACGCCGUAAACGGUGGGAACUAGUUGUAGGG
rnacentral:rRNA from 1 species